rnacentral:rRNA from 1 species
UACGAAGGGAGCUAGCGUUGUUCGGAAUCACUGGGCGUAAAGCGCACGUAGGCGGAUGUGUCAGUCAGGGGUGAAAUCCCGGAGCUCAACUUCGGAACUGCCCUUGAUACAGCACGUCUUGAGUCCGGAAGAGGUGGGUGGAAUUCCUAGUGUAGAGGUGAAAUUCGUAGAUAUUAGGAAGAACACCGGUGGCGAAGGCGGCCCACUGGUCCGGUACUGACGCUGAGGU